rnacentral:rRNA from 1 species
GACGAACGCUGGCGGCGUGCUUAACACAUGCAAGUCGAACGGAAAGGCCCUGCUUUUGUGGGGUGCUCGAGUGGCGAACGGGUGAGUAACACGUGAGUAACCUGCCCUUGACUUUGGGAUAACUUCAGGAAACUGGGGCUAAUACCGGAUAGGAGCUCCUGCUGCAUGGUGGGGGUUGGAAAGUUUCGGCGGUUGGGGAUGGACUCGCGGCUUAUCAGCUUGUUGGUGGGGUAGUGGCUUACCAAGGCUUUGACGGGUAGCCGGCCUGAGAGGGUGACCGGCCACAUUGGGACUGAGAUACGGCCCAGACGCCUACGGGAGGCAGCAGUGGGGAAUAUUGCACAAUGGGCGGAAGCCUGAGGCAGCAACGCCGCGUGCGGGAUGACGGCCUUCGGGUUGUAAACCGCUGUCGCCUGUGACGAAGCGUGAGUGACGGUAAUGGGUAAAGAAGCACCGGCUAACUACGUG